GACGAACGCUGGCGGCGUGCUUAACACAUGCAAGUCGAACGAUGAUCUCCCGCUUGCGGGGGUGAUUAGUGGCGAACGGGUGAGUAAUACGUGAGUAACCUGCCCUUGACUCUGGGAUAAGCCUGGGAAACCGGGUCUAAUACUGGAUACUACUUCCUGCCGCAUGGUGGGGGGUGGAAAGGGUUUUACUGGUUUUGGAUGGGCUCACGGCCUAUCAGCUUGUUGGUGGAGUAAUGGCUCACCAAGGCGACGACGGGUAGCCGGCCUGAGAGGGUGACCGGCCACACUGGGACUGAGACACGGCCCAGACUCCUACGGGAGGCAGCAGUGGGGAAUAUUGCACAAUGGGCGGAAGCCUGAUGCAGCGACGCCGCGUGAGGGAGGACGGCCUUCGGGUUGGAAACCUCUUUCAGCAGGGAAGAAGCCACAAGUGACGGUACCUGCAGAAGAAGCGCCGGCUAACUACGUG
rnacentral:rRNA from 1 species